GACGAACGCUGGCGGCGUGCUUAACACAUGCAAGUCGAACGGAAAGGCCCUGCUUUUGUGGGGUGCUCGAGUGGCGAACGGGUGAGUAACACGUGAGUAACCUGCCCUUGACUUUGGGAUAACUUCAGGAAACUGGGGCUAAUACCGGAUAGGAGCUCCUGCUGCAUGGUGGGGGUUGGAAAGUUUCGGCGGUUGGGGAUGGACUAGCGGCUUAGCAGCUUGUUGGUGGGGGAGUGGCUUACCAAGGCUUUGAAGGGUAGCCGGCCUGAGAGGGUGACCGGCCACAUUGGGACUGAGAGACGGCCCAGACUCCUACGGGAGGCAGCAGUGGGGAAUAUUGCACAAUGGGCGGAAGCCUGAUGCAGCAACGCCGCGUGCGGGAUGACGGCCUUCGGGUUGUAAACCGCUUGCGCCUGUGACGAAGCGUGAGUGACGGUAAUGGGUAAAGAAGCACCGGCUAACUACGUG
rnacentral:rRNA from 1 species